UAGAAGGAAAAGAUAAGAGCCAUAGCUGGCUUACCAAAUGUGCCAAACACAAUGACAGCCAUCAGGAGGAGUGCUGGUUCUGGAGCUUGGAAGUCCAAAAUCAAGGUUUGACAGGUUGUUUCUUUCUGAGGACUAUGAGAGAAGAAGUUGUUCCAGGACGUGAGACUUCAAAAACUGCUGAAAAUGAGCUUUUCUAACAAUGUUGGGCCUAUUUGUCUAGGAAUAAAUCAUCCUAGCAACGAGAGAUCAGACAAAACCCAAGAUUAGAUACUAAUUUUCUUCCAAAAUGCUUUCUCAGAAAAAUUGUAAAAAGAGGGGAAAAUGUGAAUGGAAAAUGAAAUCUUGGGACCCCAAUUUACUCUGCCAAAAGAAAAGAAAAUUAAGCUGAAAGGUGAGUCAUGCAAGAAGCUGCCUUUCCUUUUGUUCCUAAGCAGAAAGGUACAAAUAAAAAGUUAAAUACCACCAUGGGUAGCUACUCUAUGUUUACUUUAUCUUAUAAAGAGCAUCAGACCAAUACAAAGUUGACUAUUUCCGUAACUGCUACUUUUCUCUUGCAAUAUGUGGGGUCAGUAAUGUGACCGUGCCUUCUCUCUGACCCCUCCAGGCUCUCUCGCCUUUAAACAUUAAAGCCCUCAAAAUCAUCUUUGGAAAAAUGCACGGACCUGUCCCACAGAUGAGUGACAUUAACCUUGGCAAAAUAAACUUCUAAAUUGAUGAAGACCUGUCUCAGAUACUUUCAUGUUUACAUCUUCAGUGGGGAUAUUUUAAACACAGUUCAACCUGGAUAUCAUGUUAAGUGGAAGGUGUGGACUGAUAAUGGUUUUAAACUUGAGAGUGCACUAGAGUCAUCUUGAGGGCUUCUUAGAACACUGACUUUUUG
rnacentral:lncRNA from 1 species